rnacentral:tRNA from 1 species
GCCCCUGUGGUGGAAUUGGUAUACACGGCAGGUUGAGGGCCUGUGCUUUCCGAAGCAUGCUGGUUCGAGUCCAGUCGGGGGCA